rnacentral:rRNA from 1 species
AUUGAACGCUGGCGGCAUGCUUUACACAUGCAAGUCGGACGGCAGCGCGGGCUUCGGCCUGGCGGCGAGUGGCGAACGGGUGAGUAAUACAUCGGAACGUGCCCAGUAGUGGGGGAUAGCUCGGCGAAAGCCGGAUUAAUACCGCAUACGACCUGAGGGUGAAAGCGGGGGACUUUAGGGCCUCGCGCUAUUGGAGCGGCCGAUGGCAGAUUAGCUAGUUGGUGGGGUAAAGGCCUACCAAGGCGACGAUCUGUAGCUGGUCUGAGAGGACGACCAGCCACACUGGGACUGAGACACGGCCCAGGCUCCUACGGGAGGCAGCAGUGGGGAAUUUUGGACAAUGGGCGCAAGCCUGAUCCAGCAAUGCCGCGUGUGUGAUGAAGGCCUUCGGGUUGUAAAGCACUUUUGGCAGGAACGAAAAGUGCCGUGCUAAUACCACGGUACGAUGACGGUACCUGCAGAAUAAGCACCGGCUAACUACGUG